AGGGUUCGAUUCUGGCUCAGGAUGAACGCUAGCUACAGGCUUAACACAUGCAAGUCGAGGGGCAGCAUUGGAGUAGCAAUACUCAGAUGGCGACCGGCGCACGGGUGAGUAACACGUAUCCAACCUGCCGCUUACUCGGGGAUAGCCUUUCGAAAGAAAGAUUAAUACCCGAUGGUAUAAAGAGUUCGCAUGUUCUCUUUAUUAAAGAAUUUCGGUAAGCGAUGGGGAUGCGUUCCAUUAGAUAGUUGCGGGGUAACGGCCCACCAAGUCUACGAUGGAUAGGGGUUCUGAGAGGAAGGUCCCCCACAUUGGAACUGAGACACGGUCCAAACUCCUACGGGAGGCAGCAGUGAGGAAUAUUGGUCAAUGGACGAGAGUCUGAACCAGCCAAAAGUAGCGUGAAGGAUGACUGCCCUAUGGGUUGUAAACUUCUUUUAUAAGGGAAUAAAGUGAGGGACGUGUCCCUUUUUGUAUGUACCUUAUGAAUAAGGAUCGGCUAACUCCGUGCCAGCCGCCGC
rnacentral:rRNA from 1 species